GAUGAACGCUGGCGGCGUGCCUAACACAUGCAAGUCGAACGAAGCGUCUUAAAGGAAGUUUUCGGAUGGAAUUUGGGAUGACUGAGUGGCGGACGGGUGAGUAACACGUGGGGAACCUGCCCCUAAGUCUGGGAUACCAUUUGGAAACAGGUGCUAAUACCGGAUAAUAAAGCAGAUCGCAUGAUCAGCUUUUGAAAGGCGGCGUAAGCUGUCGCUAAGGGAUGGCCCCGCGGUGCAUUAGCUAGUUGGUAAGGUAACGGCUUACCAAGGCGACGAUGCAUAGCCGAGUUGAGAGACUGAUCGGCCACAUUGGGACUGAGACACGGCCCAA
rnacentral:rRNA from 1 species